GACGAACGCUGGCGGCGUGCUUAACACAUGCCAGUCGAGCGGAAAGGCCCUUCGGGGUACUCGAGCGGCGAACGGGUGAGUAACACGUGAGUAACCUGCCCCAGACUUUGGGAUAACCCUCGGAAACGGGGGCUAAUACCGGAUACGACACAGCUUCGCAUGGGGUCUGUGUGGAAAGUUUUUCGGUUUGGGAUGGGCUCGCGGCCUAUCAGCUUGUUGGUGGGGUGAUGGCCUACCAAGGCGACGACGGGUAGCCGGCCUGAGAGGGCGACCGGCCACACUGGGACUGAGACACGGCCCAGACUCCUACGGGAGGCAGCAGUGGGGAAUAUUGCACAAUGGGCGGAAGCCUGAUGCAGCGACGCCGCGUGAGGGAUGACGGCCUUCGGGUUGUAAACCUCUUUCAGCAGGGACGAAGCGUAAGUGACGGUACCUGCAGAAGAAGCGCCGGCCAACUACGUG
rnacentral:rRNA from 1 species